rnacentral:rRNA from 1 species
UAAUACAGAGGGUGCGAGCGUUGUCCGGAAUCACUGGGCGUAAAGGGCGCGUAGGCGGUCGGAUAAGCGUGCGGUGAAAGCCCGGGGCUCAACCCCGGGUCGGCCGUGCGGACUGUUCGACUGGAGCACUGUAGAGGCAGGUGGAAUUCCGGGUGUAGCGGUGGAAUGCGUAGAGAUCCGGAAGAACACCGGUGGCGAAGGCGGCCUGCUGGGCAGUUGCUGACGCUGAGGCGCGACAGCGUGGGGAGCAAACAGGAUUAGAUACCCUGGUAGUCCACGCCGUAAACGAUGGGCACUAGGUGCCUGGGGGAGCGACCCCCUGGGUGCCGGCGCUAACGCAUUAAGUGCCCCGCCUGGGGAGUACGGCCGCAAGGCUG